rnacentral:rRNA from 1 species
GACGAACGCUGGCGGCGUGCUUAACACAUGCAAGUCGAACGGAAAGGCCCUGCUUUUGUGGGGUGCUCGAGUGGCGAACGGGUGAGUAACACGUGAGUAACCUGCCCUUGACUUUGGGAUAACUUCAGGAAACUGGGGCUAAUACCGGAUAGGAGCUCCUGCUGCAUGGUGGGGGCUGGAAAGUUUCAGCGGUUGGGGAUGGACUCGCGGCUUAUCAGCUUGUUGGUGGGGUAGUGGCUUACCAAGGCUUUGACGGGUAGCCGGCCUGAGAGGGUGACCGGCCACAUUGGGACUGAGAUACGGCCCAGACUCCUACGGGAGGCAGCAGUGGGGAAUAUUGCACAAUGGGCGGAAGCCUGAUGCAGCAACGCCGCGUGCGGGAUGACGGCCUUCGGGUUGUAAACCGCUUUCGCCUGUGACGAAGCGUGAGUGACGGUAAUGGGUAAAGAAGCACCGGCUAACUACGUG